UUGGGGAUGUGGCUCAGUGGUAGAGUGCAUGCUUUAACGUGUGUGAGGCUCUGGGUUCAAUUCCCAGGACUAAA
rnacentral:tRNA from 1 species